GAUCAAAACCAUUGCAGGGGGACGGAGAUCCGACGGAAGGGAAGUCACCACAUGUGGAUUGAUGAUGUGGAGAAAUCCUCAUCGCCCACAGAAGACACAUAUUGGAUGGCCAUCGCAUAGGUGCGCAGAACAGUUUGAUCACCCCACGUGUCAAUGAUCUGACAGCUCCGAAGUGACUUGGGAGUCAAGAUGGCAGCUCUAGAAUGGAGAGCAAGGCAUUUUCAUUAUUGUAUUUUCCAUAAUGCAUGUACCCCGGCCCGGCUGCCCUGUACUGCAACCACUGUUUGUACAACCUUCCUACAUAAGUAUGUCACUUUACUUUGGUACCCUUCUAUCAUAUACUCCCCUAUGUAAAUCACUAUGUGUGCCCCGCAAGUUCUUUCCCUGAAUAAAAUUUGUGAUGUAUACACUUUUUAA